GGCUCCUUAGCACAAUGGCAGUGCAUCCGACUCCAGAUCGGAAGGUUGGGUGUUCAAGUCACUCAGGGGUCA